rnacentral:rRNA from 1 species
UACGGAGGGUGCAAGCGUUAUCCGGAUUCACUGGGUUUAAAGGGUGCGUAGGUGGGCAGGUAAGUCAGUGGUGAAAUCUCCGGGCUUAACCCGGAAACUGCCAUUGAUACUAUCUGUCUUGAAUACCGUGGAGGUGAGCGGAAUAUGUCAUGUAGCGGUGAAAUGCUUAGAUAUGACAUAGAAAACCAAUUGCGAAGGCAGCUCACUACACGAAUAUUGACACUGAGGCACGAAAGCGUGGGGAGCAAACAGG